UCUUCACUGGCUCUGCUGUGGUCUCCGCUCCGCUCCAUCACGCUGUUGCUGUCAUGGCGCUGGCUCAAGGAGGAGGCAAGAAGAAAGUUUGUUAUUAUUAUGAUGGUGACAUUGGGAACUACUAUUAUGGACAGGGACACCCUAUGAAACCGCAUCGAAUCCGUAUGACCCAUAAUCUGUUGCUGAAUUAUGGCUUGUACAGAAAGAUGGAAAUCUAUCGGCCACACAAGGCCACAACAGAGGAGAUGACAAAAUACCACAGUGAUGACUACAUCAAGUUCCUGCGGUCAAUACGACCAGAUAACAUGUCGGAGUACAGCAAACAGAUGCAGAGAUUUAAUGUUGGAGAAGAUUGCCCUGUAUUUGAUGGAAUGUUUGAAUUUUGUCAGUUAUCAACAGGAGGCUCAGUGGCUGCAGCAGUAAAACUCAAUAGACAACAGACUGAUAUUGCAGUCAACUGGGCUGGAGGUCUUCAUCAUGCCAAGAAAUCUGAGGCAUCAGGUUUUUGUUAUGUCAAUGACAUUGUCCUUGCCAUUCUAGAAUUACUGAAAUAUCAUCAAAGAGUUUUGUAUAUUGAUAUUGACAUUCACCAUGGAGAUGGUGUAGAAGAAGCUUUUUACACGACAGACCGUGUCAUGACUGUUUCAUUCCAUAAAUAUGGUGAAUAUUUCCCUGGUACAGGUGAUCUUCGAGACAUAGGUGCAGGUAAAGGCAAAUAUUAUGCAGUUAACUUUCCACUCCGAGAUGGAAUUGAUGAUGAGUCUUAUGAACAGAUAUUCAAACCAAUUUUGACAAAGGUAAUGGAAAUGUACCAACCCAGUGCAGUUGUACUACAGUGUGGAGCUGAUUCUUUAUCAGGCGACAGACUUGGAUGUUUCAAUCUCACAUUAAAAGGUCAUGCUAAAUGUGUGGAAUUUAUGAAGACCUUCAACUUGCCUUUACUGAUGCUAGGAGGUGGAGGGUACACAAUCCGCAAUGUUGCUCGCUGCUGGACAUAUGAGACCGCUGUAGCAUUGGAUACAGAGAUUCCAAAUGAAUUACCGUACAAUGACUACUUUGAAUAUUUCGGGCCCGACUUUAAAUUGCACAUCAGUCCUUCCAAUAUGACGAAUCAGAACACAUUGGAAUACAUGGAAAAGAUUAAAAUCCGGCUAUUUGAAAAUCUACGUAUGCUGCCUCAUGCACCUGGUGUCCAGAUACAGGCUAUUCCAGAGGAUGCUAUUCAAGAAAACAGUGGAGAAGAGGACGAUGAUGAUCCUAACAAACGAAUUUCAAUUCGAGCUUCUGACAAAAGAAUAGCCCGUGAUGAGGAAUUUUCAGAUUCUGAAGAUGAAGGAGAAGGAGGUAGACGAAAUAUUGCAAAUCAUAAGAAAAGUAGCAAGCGAGCAAGAAUUGAAGAAAAGAAGGAACUGGAAGAAAGAAAAAUUGAUGCUGAACAGGAAGACACAGUUAAAGAUAUUACAGAGAAAACUGAUGUAAAAGGAUUAAUUAUAGGGAAAACAAUGUAUUUAUUUGAGCCAUAAUGUCAGCACAGCAGAAAGGAGGUCGCCUCUCAGCCUCCUACACGCCAGUGAAAAAAGUUCCAGCCUAUCCAGCCUUUCUUUAUCACUCAAACUUUGCAUUCCCAGCAAAUCCUGGUAAAUCUCUUCUGAACACUCUCCAGCUUGAAAAUAUCCUUCCUGUAACUAGGUAACCAGAACUGGAUACAGUAUUCCAGAAGACGCCUCACCAAUGUCCUGCAUAACCUCAUCAUGACUUCCCAACUCUUCUACUCAAAGUACUGAAAAACGAAGGAUGAGGGGUGUCGCUGGCCAGGCAAAUUUCACCAUCUGCCAUGACAGGAUUCAAACCCAGGUCCCCAGAAUACUAUGUGGGUCUCUGGAUUAACAGUCCAGCAAUAAUACCACUAGGCCAUUGCCUCCCCUAUUGAGGCAAUAGUUGGAAAAUGAGGGUCUGGGAGCAGACAUUGACUUUACAAACAGAUCGAAUAAAUGCUUUUUGCCUGUAAUUUAGGAAAGUAUGCUCAAUUAACAUGGCUAUAGUUUUAUUUUUCCAUAUAAACUUCAGAUCAUAUUAUUUUCUGUAUUUUUUCACUCAGAAAAUCUGAUGGUGUGCGAUCCAUGGCAACAAGAGAAACAGAAAAUGUAAAAUAAACCGACAUUGAAAGCUUCACUGAUGACUUAAACGUUCAAAAUGAACUGGACCAAAAAUAGUUAAUCUACAAUCUGUACUAAGUUAGCUGAUUUAAGCCAAAAUGGUGAGAGGACUCGCCAAUUGGCUUCAGUCCACUUUGGAUUAGGAAAUGUAAGUAUCAGCCAGGGUUUCUACUCCUGACUGCUAUUCAGAAGUCCCACUAGAAAAUGUAGACAUCGAAUGAGGGCAGAAGAAAAUACUGACCAUAUGUGAAUUCUGUGGUUUUAUAUCAGAGGGGCCUGACACCUGGACAACAUGAUAUCAAUGUGCAAAAUACACAUGGAAAAAAAUGUGAAAAAUAAUAGAUAUCAUUCAACAACAAUCUAUGUAUCAACAAGGGAUACUAGAAAAACACAAACUGAUUAGACAAGGGAAGGAAGUCACAAAACUGCAGGAUUGACUUCAAUUCGGAUAACUGCUCUUUUCUGAUUCUAAAAUGGUGUUCUCAUGUUGUAAAAGUGAAAUCUGAGGCUCAGAAUUUCACAAACCAGUCAUAUCAUUUUAUGGGGUUAAUAAACAUGUUAGACCCUUCAACAGAUAGUAAAAUACUAUGACAUUUUUAUUACAUUCUCCACUUUACAUAAUGCCUUGUUGAUAAGAAGGUGCUGUCAAUGAAGAUCUUAGGAAAAAUCACAAGAAAACCUAAAUAAUACACAAGUGACCACGAAUAACAAAUUUGAGUACACCAUCCCUAAGCACUGUCAGAUAACGGGUGCAGGCAUGACUGGCUGAAUGGUGUUCUAUUGAAGUUAACCUUCUAUGAUUACAAUUGGUAUGUACUCCCCCAAUUUACUCAGGUAAUAUGAUUAUUCAAACAUGUAUAAAAUAAAUAUGGAGUGAUGUUUUUUUUAUCUAAUUACUGCUGCAAAUUAUUGAGGCCUUUUUCAUCUUUCUCGUGCACCUUUGACUUUAGACUCAAUUUUUGCAUUGUGUCUGUCACGUUAAAAAAAACUUUUAACAAAUCUUCCCAAUGCACUUGUCUGAAUGAGUCAAAUAUGUUUAAGUGACUUAAGAUGGCCUUCAGGCUGAAAAUUCAAACAAUAAGUAACAAUCGCUUUUUAGAAAACGGAUCAUGACAUAAUUUGUGCAGCUCACCUGAAUAGGAAAUCUGAGGGGUCAUUUUGAUUUUGUAUGAUAGUGGCCAGUGGGUGAUGGUGAAUAGCUAGUUUGUUUUACGUCCCUUCUCACUUUCAUCAAUCUGGAUUCCGAGGUCAAUAAUGAGAAAACAGUUUUUUCCACUCUUUGCUGACAGAUAUUCUCAGAUUUCACAGGUUUCUUGAGUGGAAACAUGCUCAAAACUGCUGUCUGAUGCAGCACAGCACCUUUUAUGGGGGAUUCGUAGCUACUGCAUGAGGUGCAUCCCCUAUAAGAUAGUAACCACUUGCUUCUUCCCUGCACAGACAUUAAAACAUACCCUACCUGCUCCCCACAACCAAGCCCCAACACCUCCCAACCCACACCCAUCGCCCCCCCCAACCCCACCGCCACCAAAACAGCCCACCUUCCCAUUAAUUACUGGCUAGGUCCAGAAUCCAUUAGGACUUUCAUCCUGGCACCGGCCUCUGCUGAGCCCCAACACUCCAGGAUUCUGGAGCUACUGUCCGAUAAGACCUCUCAGCAACUCUGCAGGAUGGGACCACCUCCUGCUGAGAGGUGGAAAAUCUCACUCUGUGCACUAAUUCAGCCUGUCUGCAGGAGGCAGAUUUCCUUACAUCUGUUGGCUGGCUGUGAACUUUUCUUCUGGGUAAGAUUAAGAAGUAAAUUAUCCUGAAAAGAAAUAUCUUCUACCUCUCUUCUAUUAAUAUCUACCUGCAGAGUCAAAUCUAGCUUGUACAAUGCAAGAAAUAUAAAUUAGGUCUAAAUCAUGUGCAGAAGAGAAAAUGUACACUAAGAUUCAUUAAACUAGACAAGAGACAGAAAAACUUAAACUAAAUUUAUUUUUAAAUUCCCAUUUAGUUUUCUUCUGACAAAAUAAGAAUCCACACUUGUAAAUUAAAAAUGUCAUGCUCAGGGAUAUCUGCAUCAUAGAAUCCCUACAGUGGCUAAAGAGGCCGUUAGGCCCAUCAAGUCUGCACUGACCGCCCAUGCCCAUCCCCACAAAGAGCAUCCCACCCAGGCCCAACCCAUUCCUGUAACCUUGCAUGCAGUUUAUACCAUGGCUACACUACCUACCCUGCAUAUCCUUAGAUAUUACUGGGCAAUUUUAGAAUGGCCAGUUCAUCUAAUCUGACAUCUUUGGACGGUGGGAUGAAACCGGAGCAUCCAACGGAAACCCACACAGACACAGAGUGAAUGUGCAAACCUCACACAAACAGUUGCCUAAGCCUGGAAUCAAACCAAGAUUGCCUUGUUAGAUGGUCAUUUAACUUACUGUUAAAAUCAAGCUGCUCUAUGCACCAACCAUAACUUACCCAAGGGACAAUGGAACUAAUGGAUAAGCAACCCAUUUUCAAACUGUCGCAUUAAUUUAAUUGGCAAGUAUAUUAAAACAUACAGGAAUAGUACACUCUGUGGAGGAGUAGUGUAUCUCUGAAAAUUUAGUUGUUCAUGUGUUGACAUCAGAAGUGGGUGUGGAAUUUACUCCAUUACAAGAAUGAGCACUGUUUGUCUCACUAUUAUUUUGCUUAAGAAAUUAGUCCCAUAACUUAAAUGGAAACAAAAAUUAGUCAUAUUGUUAAUUCAUUAUCAUGUUACAUUUAAUUGCGCAGUCAACAUUAUUGUUGUAUUAUGGUGUAGUUUCCAGAUCAGACAGACACUGUACCUCUAAAACAUAACAUCACACUAUCAGUCAUUCUUUCUGUGCUAAGAAAUCAAUGUUGUGUGCUCAGUCAGCUGUGUGUUAUCAUGUACAGCUAGAUCAUUGAGCACAGAAAUCAGUCCAUGUGUGUACAUCUGCAAUAUUGUAGCUGUGUAAUUAGAUCAUGUUAUUAAUAAACUUCAAGACAUCUGUUUCAA